UACGUAGGGUGCAGGCGUUAAUCGGAAUUACUGGGCGUAAAGCGUGCGCAGGCGGUUUGCUAAGACAGGUGUGAAAUCCCCGGGCUUAACCUGGGAACUGCGCUUGUAACUGGCAAGCUAGAGUGUGGCAGAGGGGGGGUGGAAUUCCACGUGUAGCAGUGAAAUGCGUAGAGAUGUGGAGGAACACCGAUGGCGAAGGCAGCCCCCUGGGCUA
rnacentral:rRNA from 1 species